rnacentral:tRNA from 1 species
GGUUGUGGCUCAGUGGUAGAGUGCUUGCCUAGAAUGCAUGAGGCACUGGGUUCAAUCCCCAGAACCA